rnacentral:rRNA from 1 species
UACGGAGGGUGCAAGCGUUAUCCGGAUUCACUGGGUUUAAAGGGUGCGUAGGUGGGUCUGUAAGUCAGUGGUGAAAUCUCCGUGCUUAACAUGGAAACUGCCAUUGAUACUAUAGGUCUUGAAUUAUCUGGAGGUUAGCGGAAUAUGUCAUGUAGCGGUGAAAUGCUUAGAUAUGACAUAGAACACCAAUUGCGAAGGCAGCUGGCUACAGGUACAUUGACACUGAGGCACGAAAGCGUGGGGAUCAAACAGG